rnacentral:rRNA from 1 species
GACGAACGCUGGCGACGUGCUUAACACAUGCAAGUCGAACGGAAAGGCCCUGCUUUUGUGGGGUGCUCGAGUGGCGAACGGGUGAGUAACACGUGAGUAACCUGCCCUUGACUUUGGGAUAACUUCAGGAAACUGGGGCUAAUACUGGAUAGGAGCUCCUGCUGCAUGGUGGGGGUUGGAAAGUUUCGGCGGUUGGGGAUGGACUCGCGGCUUAUCAGCUUGUUGGUGGGGUAGUGGCUUACCAAGGCUUUGACGGGUAGCCGGCCUGAGAGGGUGACCGGCCACAUUGGGACUGAGAUACGGCCCAGACUCCUACGGGAGGCAGCAGUGGGGAAUAUUGCACAAUGGGCGGAAGCCUGAUGCAGCAACGCCGCGUGCGGGAUGACGGCCUUCGGGUUGUAAACCGCUUUCGCCUGUGACGAAGCGUGAGUGACGGUAAUGGGUAAAGAAGCACCGGCUAACUACGUG